ACUAAGCUGUUCUUGACUAGUAAGUGAUAUAAAAGGCUACACAAGUGCAUUGCAAGGUAAUGGAUGUUGCUAGCAGGACCUGAACUUUUGCAUUUCCUGGCUUCAAACUGCAGCCUUAACAGUGAAAUAAGUCUUUUGCAUUGAAUUAGUCUCGUACUUUUCUACCACUUCCAUCACAGGAGCUCAAAUUCACACACAUAUGCUCUAUCUUUUCAGGGCCAGGUACAAUUCCAGCUGACACGUGACGUGUGCAGUCACUAGGGCUUUCUGCUGGGCACCUUCAGUCCUGCGUGGUCAGGCCGAGCACCUUGAAGUCCACACAGAGGACUGCUCUAUUUAUGCAGCAGCCGAUGAGAAUGCAACCAGCAGUGCAUGUUAACAGAGGGUCAUGCAAAAGGAAAACACGGUACCAAACAUUU